UUAUCCGGCACGGCGGUGUGACGUUUAUUUUGUCGCACUAAUUGCGAAUCGUGCCGAAUAAUCGGUAUAUUUUCGUAUUUACGUAUCAUUUUGCCGUUCGCGUUUGCGAUUGAUAUAUUGAAUGAAAAUAACGGAAAUAUCUUGUUUUUUUUAACUCUGCGAUGAUAUUUCAGAUGAACGAAAUAUCAUCGCAGAAUAAUCGGCGAAUAAAAUUUUCGUGAAUAGUAUCAUCGUCACCUGAUCGCGGUAUUUGUAACGAUUUUCAUGUGAGGGAAAAAUAUCGGAUCGCGUACAUUCAAGGGUGCGUCCGAUUCUCCACCCGAAUGCGCUCAGAAAGUGUUCAGAUUCCUUCCAACUCCCGCCGGACUCUUAAGUGAGACGUUCAAAUUGUCACUUCAUCCACCCGAGAGAGUGUAAAAGUCACCCGGCUCGUAGAAUCGGGUGGUUUGGGUGGUGGUGACGCAAUAUGCGGGCAAUAUUGAAAUGUCUAGUAAAUCUAGUUCAUUAAGUCAAUAUCGGGCAUCAGACUAUGGAGUGCGUUCAGAUUUUAUUAUUCUCUCAAACACUUUUCGUUAGACUUCGCCCAUCACCCGCUCAUUUAACUAUCAUUCAUCGGAUGGAGAAUUGGAACACAGCUCAAAUGUCGGUGUAAGCUAAAUCAGACUCCUUCAUGACAUCAGCGGAACAUUUUAUUAGUCUUAUAACAGUAGCAAGUGCAAAGAAAUUAGCUACUGCGCUUGUUAUCUGUUUUAUUAUAUACCAUGGAGUCAUACAUCUUAUUUAUGGUAGCGAUUCUUGCAAAUGGUUAUUGACAGAAGGUAGAUACAAAGGAGAUAAAGAAUGGCAACCAUACGGUUGCAUGAUGCAUCAUUAUACGCAAACAGACAGCAGAAGAUGUAUGAGAUAUCUAGCUUUCAUGGGCCACCAUAAUCAUUUUGUAUUCAUUGGCGAUGCUAGAGUAAGACAAUUGUAUAAAUCUUUUGUUUCACAAUUUGUGAUUGAUGGCAAAGCAUCAGAUCUCACAGAAUUGCCGGAAAACUCAGACUUGGGUUUCAACGACGGGCAGCUUAAAUUAAAUGUACAGUUCUUAUGGCGACCACGACUCGAUAAUUCUAUGAUAGCAAACAUUAGAGGCUGGAUGCAAACGGAUGCGCCUAGUGUAAUUGUAGCAGGUUCUGCCGCAGCUGUGAUUCUUGCAAACAAUAAUAGUGAUACGCAACUCUAUUCGGAAUACAGCACGAGUUUGAUUCGACUGGUGCAACCGGUGGAUUUUCUGGCUAAAAAAGGAUCUCGAUUUCUUUGGCUCUUACAGGAUCCUGUACUCAAGGAAAGACUGCCUGCGCAAUUGUCGAGUUUGGACAACAAACAGAUCAAUUUAUGUAAUAAGGCAGCCGAAAGGAUAUUGUCUCAUAGUGAGGCUCAUAUAUGGCAAAGCAGCAAACUAGUCGGUAUGGGUGUUUUGGAGCAAAGUCCAGAUGGUUAUUUGGCAAGUCCAUUAUCGCUUCGUCAUAAAGUUCAAAUACUAUUAAACACAUACUGCAACGAUCAUAUGAAUUUCGAUGAUGGAAGCUGUUGUAGUUAUCCUGAACCAGCAACUACUCUACAGCUGUUAAGUCUAUCUGCGCUUGCAUUAUUUAUAACAAUAGGAGGAGGAGUGUGGUUAUACAGAAAAAUGUGCAAGUAUCGUUCUGAAGUGUCUUAUUCUUAUGUUACUGUUGAGGAAGUAGAGAAUACAGAAGAAGCAGGUGCUUCAGAAGUUAUACAAAUUAAACAACCUGAGAUACAAGAUUUCUACACUCUUAUUACAUCAUUGGCUCUCUUUUCUAUUAUAUUAGCAUAUUUUUACUUAUGUGAUAGAACAAAUUUCUUUAUGAAGGAGAAUAAAUAUUACAGUGAGUUCAGUUUCUGGUUACCACUAGGAUAUAUCUUGGCUCUCGGAUUAUUUUUCACCGAAGAUCGUGAAAGAGGACCGAGAGUAUUAAAUAGAGAGCAAACGGAUGAAUGGAGAGGCUUAAUGCAGGCGGUUGUGCUCAUAUAUCAUGUCACUGGUGCCAAAAAUGUUCUCCCGAUUUAUAUGUACUUAAGAUUAAUUAAUUCUGCCUACUUAUUUCUGUCUGGAUAUGGACAUUUUUAUUAUUUUUGGCAAACCGGCGACGUGUCUCUUGUCAGAUUUGUCAGAUAUAAUUGUUGUGUUUUAGGUCAUGUUCAGAUUAAACUUAUUGACAGUAUCGUUAUGCCUUUGCAUGAACAGGCCAUAUCAAUUCUACCAUUUUGUACCAUUGGUGUCCUUUUGGUUUCUAGUGAUUUACUUUUUGGCUUGGUUACCACCGAGAAUAUAUUCCGGAAGUUUAGCGGAAUACGGACCGAGAGCCUUGCUGUAUUUUGCUUUGAAACUCUUGGGUCUUGUGUCGAUAAUUACUAUACUAUAUAUGUCAGAGCACAGGUAUUUUUUGAAAAAGUUUUCGUCACGAGGCCCUGGAAAGCGUUAUUUGUGACGACUGAUGAUGACAUUCGCGAAUGGUGGUCUCGUUGGAGAGUCGACAGAUAUAGUGUAGUUUGGGGCUUAACCUUCGGAGCCGGUCUUGUUGCACUUCAAAGACUAGAUCAUAUUCCAGGCACUGCAUUAUCCUCCGUGCUGGCAUUGAUCUCCUUAAUAGCAUAUACUACUUUCACAAUUUUGUGUCAUUCUGUAUCAGAAUGUGAGGAGAUUCAUUCUUAUGUCGCUUUUAUUCCGAUUAUAGGAUAUAUCGCUCUUCGAAAUGCAUCAUUGGCAUUACGGGGAAAGCACUCUGCACUUUUAGCUGGAUUGGGUAGAAUAAGUUUAGAGACAUUAGUUGCGCAAGGACACAUAUGGUUGGCAGCAGAUUCACAUGGAGUGCUUGUGUUAUUACCUAGAUUUCCAGUAUUGAAUCUGUUGGUUACAUCAUUCAUUUUCAUCUGUGCCAGUCACGAAAUUCAUAGACUAACACAUGUUUUAGCACCAUAUGCAGUACCAAAUGAUUGGAAAUUAGUAGCUCGCAAUUUGUUACUGUUUACAACUGUAUUGGUACCCAUCGGCAUUCAUGAUGGAAUGUUUUAAAAAUUGGGAAUGUUUAAAAAAUCAAAGAUACCUGCAAUAUUAAUGUACAAGUGUACACAUCAUAACCAAGAGAUAUUAUAUUAUCAUAAAGCACUCUGUAUCGUGUGGGAAGGAAAUAAAAAUUAAUGACUUGUG